rnacentral:rRNA from 1 species
ACAAGCGGUGGAGUAGUGUGGUUUAAUUCGAUGCAACGCGAAGAACCUUACCUGGUCUUGACAUCCCGGAGACCCUUAGGAAACUAGGGGUGCUUCCAUCUGGAAGAAUCUGGAGACAGGUGCUGCAUGGCUGUCGUCAGCUCGUGUCGUGAGAUGUUGGGUUAAGUCCCGCAACGAGCGCAACCCUUGCCUUUAGUUGCCAGCAGUUCGGCUGGGCACUCUAAAGGGACUGCCGGUGUUAAACCGGAGGAAGGUGGGGAUGACGUCAAGUCCUCAUGGCCUUUAUGACCAGGGCUACACACGUACUACAAUGGCCGAUACAAAGGGCAGCGACACUGCGAGGUGAAGCCAAUCCCGUAAAAUCGGUCUCAGUCCGGAUUGGAGUCUGCAACUCGACUCCAUGAAGUUGGAAUCGCUAGUAAUCGUGGAUCAGCAUGCCACGGUGAAUACGUUCCCGGGCCUU